UGCAAAGCAGAACGAUGACCUGCGGAGGGAUCAUUACUGAGUAUGCGGGCGUCAUGGGCUCUGGGCAGAUCUCCCACGUCCCUUGUUAUUAUACCUUAGUUGCUUUGCAAGGGCGGGGCUCCCCUGGGGCUUCGGCCUUGGGGUGCCUGGCCACCGCCAGAGGAAACCCUGACCCGUAAAACUCUGUUCAUUUAGUUUGAUGUCUGAGUACCGGAACUGGUGUCAUUUAAUAGUUAAUCCCUUCACCAACGGAUCCCUUGGUUCUGGCAUCAAUGAAGAACGCUUCGAAAUGCGAUAAGUAAUGCGAAUUGUUGAAAGAAUCCUUCAGUGUAUCAUCCUUUCUAACUUGAACGCACAUUGCGCCCCGUGGCUAAGGGCACGUCUGCCUGGGCGUCACGCAUCGCGUCUCCCCCACAGGUUGGGAAGGAUGAUGGCUUCCCGUGCCUCACCGGGUGCGGUUGGCUUAAACUUGGAGCCCACGGUAAAUAUUUGCCGCGGCGAUAGGUGGUGAACUUGGCUUAGGCCGUGUAAACAACCCGUUGCGGUGUGU
rnacentral:rRNA from 1 species